rnacentral:rRNA from 1 species
UGGGGAAUUUUGGACAAUGGGGGCAACCCUGAUCCAGCCAUGCCGCGUGUGUGAAGAAGGCCUUCGGGUUGUAAACCGCUUUUAGUCGGGAAGAAAAGGCACGGGUGAAUACCCCGUGUUCUUGACGGUACCGGCGGAAUAAGCACCGGCUAACUACGUGCCAGCAGCCGCGGUAAUACGUAGGGUGCGAGCGUUAAUCGGAAUUACUGGGCGUAAAGCGUGCGCAGGCGGUUCGCUGUGUCCGAUGUGAAAGCCCCGGGCUCAACCUGGGAAUGGCAUGGGAAACUGGCGGGCUGGAGUGUGGCAGAGGGGGGUGGAAUUCCGCGUGUAGCAGUGAAAUGCGUAGAGAUGCGGAGGAACACCGAUGGCGAAGGCAGCCCCCUGGGCCAACACUGACGCUCAGGCACGAAAACGUGGGGAGCAAA